rnacentral:lncRNA from 1 species
CUCGUGUCCUGGCCUUGUUCUGUGCUUGCCCCAUUGAGGCCUGCCCCUCCCGUUCUCGGCUCUUUCUUGGCUCCUGGGCGGGCCUGAUCUGAUCUAGGGCUGAGUGAGAAGAGAUCAGCACAGCUCCUUUUUCAAAGGAGCAUCCUUCCUUCCCUAGUCACUCAUUUCUACUCCUACUACACCUUGGAUUAUCCAGUCCUUCCUUCAGUCUAUCCUUUUGUUCCCUUUCAAUGCUGUUAUGUUCACCGCUGUUACUGCAGUGGGAGGGAGCUAAGGGGGACCCCAGAGUACAGCUGAGGGUGUGUGUCAUCACAGGGGCCCUGUAGCUGAGCGGAAGGAGACGGAAGACAGGAGGAAGAUUACUUUGGAGGCGGUGGUCGGAAUUUGCAGAAGUGAAAGACCCGAGGGUGUGUCAGCUCACAGGGCAUGGUGUGAUCUGCGGGGAGAAAAUGGGCUCUUCCACACUGUCAUCUGCUGCUGAGGACCACGGAGGGCUUCAUGGCGGCCUCCUCAAGCUGUUGCUGGAGCGAAGGCGUGCACACUUGCACACAAGUGUGAUGAACAAUGGUAAGAAGGCAAGCGUCAACUGUGUGUCCAGGGGAGGGGCUGCUCAUUCCCUCUGCAGCAUCUACUCUGGGCAGGCACCCUGCCAGGUGCAGACUGGCACAGAGAUGGGAACCAGACAGACGCCAGAGGACCCUGCCCUGUCCGCCAGGAGCUGUGGUCUCACACUCGUGGGAUGAACGUGAUGGCAAGCUGGAAGCACUGGGAAAGAGGCACUCCAUGGUCAUCGUCCUUGCUGCCAAGAAGGAAGCUAACACAGAGGAAAACAGUCAAGAGAAGAAGAGAAGGAUGGCCCUGCUGUCAUCGCCAAGCCUCCCAUCCGUCUACGCUGAAAGCCAAGUUCACCCCUGCACUUCCCAAUUGUGGGAGCAAAUAAAUCAUCUUGUGCUUAAGCCCGU